rnacentral:rRNA from 1 species
GAUGAACGCUAGCGACAGGCCUAACACAUGCAAGUCGAGGGGUAACAUUAUUAAAGCUUGCUUUAAUAGAUGACGACCGGCGCACGGGUGCGUAACGCGUAUGCAACCUACCCAUUACAGGAGGAUAGCCCAGAGAAAUUUGGAUUAAUACUCCAUAGUAUUUACUGAAAGCAUUUUCAGUAUUUUAAAAGAUUCGUCUGGUAAUGGAUGGGCAUGCGUAUGAUUAGUUAGUUGGUAGGGUAACGGCCUACCAAGACGACGAUCAUUAGGGGUUCUGAGAGGAUAGUCCCCCACACUGGUACUGAGACACGGACCAGACUCCUACGGGAGGCAGCAGUGAGGAAUAUUGGUCAAUGGGCGAGAGCCUGAACCAGCCAAGUCGCGUGCAGGAAGACUGCCCUAUGGGUUGUAAACUGCUUUUAUAUAGGAAUAAUUGUUUCUACGUGUAGGAAUUUGAAUGUACUAUAUGAAUAAGCACCGGCUAACUCCGUGCCAGCAGCCGCGGUAAUACGGAGGGUGCAAGCGUUAUCCGGAUUUAUUGGGUUUAAAGGGUGCGUAGGCGGGUUCAUAAGUCAGUGGUGAAAGUCUGUCGCUUAACGAUAGAAUUGCCAUUGAAACUGUGGAUCUUGAAUACAGUAGAGGUAGGCGGAAUAUAUUGUGUAGCGGUGAAAUGCAUAGAUACGAUAUAGAACACCUAUUGCGAAGGCAGCUUACUAUGCUGUAAUUGACGCUGAUGCACGAAAGCGUGGGGGAGCGAACAGG